CUAAAAAUCUCACACUUUCACUUUGCCCACUUAUCUCAAAAUCUACCACUUUCACUUUGCCGCUUUUCUCAAAAUCGAUUCAAAAUCCACAUCUGUCAGUUUGUGUCUUCGGCUACUGAUAUAUCUCUUCAGUUCUACUUUGAUUCAAGUUGUUCGCCAUCUCAAUUUCUAGGUUUUCAAGAUGACCAGAUUUGGUCAGCCUCACAGAAGAUGGUUCGAUUUUUGCCGGAUUCAAACCCUAUCCCGUGUUGGUCACUUUGUAUUGACAGGGUUUGGAUCGAAUUGCUUGAGUCUCGCAGAUAAUGUUAUCGAUUAUUUGAUAGAUUGAUGGUAAAUAGGGCUUCCAGUUCAACCUAUGGGUAAACAAAUUCGUUCUCACCUACUUUAAUUUUUCACCAGAUCUAUCAAACACCUUAUUAGAAGAUAAAUUAUUCAUCAUUUAUCCACUAAUCACACAAUUUUUGACAUAUUUUGUGAGCUAGGGUUUGAAUUCAUUCAAAUUGUGAUUUGGUUGAAAUGUAUGUUGUGCUUUGAGAUCUGCUGUUUGAGUUCACGGAAUAGAUUAUUGGAUUGACGGUGACGAAUGCGAACGGAUUGGUGUCUGAUGUUGAUUUAGGGACUCAAUCGCACUUUGUGGCUUCAUAUUGGUUGCCAAAGCCUUUGAGAUGUGUUGUUGUGUCUCAAGAUUGAAGCUACAUUGCAGCUGGUGACUAGACAACCUUCUGAAUCACAACCUUCUUCUGGUUCUUUCACCAUUAGCAACUCAACAUAUGACUUUGUUAGGUGUACGUGAUUGGUAAACAUUGUGGAGCGAUGGUUGGCUACACAUUUUCACUUUUUGCGCCCAGAGAAAGUUGGAGUUAUAACACUUAAGAGUUCCAUUUAUGCUUCUUGGUUUUUUCAAGAAUCAUCAAACCCUCGUCCCUCCCUAAAGAUUUUUGUAUCUGAAUAUGGCAGGUACUUGGACUAGCUAGGAAUGUCAUCUGUUUAUGACAUGAAACAUACUGCAGACUCACAUUUAUUUGAGGAAACUAUUGUUUGCUCAAUACUACAGCUUUUGAGAUAAAUCCAGAUUACUGCAGGUUCAUAAUUGAUUUUUGUAUUAUGCUUUGAAUUUUGAGGUCAACGUUGGAGAUUGGCGGGCUUUAAAGGUUAUAACUUGAUGGGAUUUUGUUCUUUCUCUCCAUUGCUCAUCUUUGGCAUUAUUUGAUGGGUAGAAAGGCGAUCCUAUGCUAACGUUAACAAUCUGUAAUUGAGUAACAUCUUUUAAUACUUGACAUACUUAAGUCUGUUUAUUGUUGAGUUUUAUGCAGGUUUGUUCGUGUAUGAUAAGUGUCACAUAUGUAUUUGGUUUCUGCCCAUAGUGAUGCGUGGCUAUUUUAUGUCAGAUUUUAAUUUGGUACCAAAGUUGGUUCUUAAUGCCAAACAAUCUUUGAGGAACGGCGCUGCUGGAACGAAGCGCUUGGAGCCUUGGGGAACUUUAGCAAAACUAGGGCUUUCAAUUGGUGGUGGAAUGCCGAACGCCAGAGUCUCUCAUGGAGGAAUGCAACGUCGGCCAUGGAAAAGAUGAAUCAACCAAGGGCUUUGGAAAGCAACUAAGAUAAAACAUUGGUUUGAUUAUAUAUAUAUAUAUAUAUAUAUAUAUAUAUAUUGAGGUUUGUCAUUUAUUUUAUAGAAUUAGUCAUAGGUGCAGUUGUAUAUGUUUUAUAUGGCAUGCAUGUUUUCUAGAGUCUUUCAUGUAAGUUGAUUUUGCUAUUUGUGGGUUAGAAUUAGAAUCAGGGGUGUAGCUACAUAGAAGGGUACGGGUUCGGCCGAACCCGUAACAAAAUUUUUGUUAGUGUUAUAUAUAUGUGUAUUUUGACAUCGCGCCUGUAGAAAUUUUGCCAUCAAACCGUAGAUUCCUUUAAGUCUGGAAAUUUUCCGAACCCGUAGGAAAAUUUUUUUUGGCUACGCCCCUGAUUAGAGUCACUGCUUAUUUCUUUUCAUUGUUCUAUUAAAUUUGUUCUUAAAUUUUCCAGUUUCUAUCACUAUUAAUAGCAUAAUUUUUUUGUAGUAAAGGAAGUAUUGUUCGUUGCUUGGGGUUUGGAUACUGCUUAAAAAUCUUAUGCAUGAGAGGUUAAAUCCAGAUGGUAACAAACCUUCUGCUACAAUGUAUGCAACAGCUAGUGGAUGCUCGGAUGGUCUGUUUUUACUAUGUGGUGGAAGAGACGCCUCUGGCACGAUAUGAAGUUAUGCUCUAAGAUAUCAACUACUUGCUCUAACUACUAAUAAGCGGUACUGAAAAAGCCACACAAUCUUUGGUUGAAUAGCUUAAACCAACGUUAAAAGAGGUUGAAUACAAGGAGCUAGUUGAUGUCGCACCGGUGAGUGCAGGAAGAAAUAUGAUGUGGGGAUAUGAUUGCUAAGAGAGAAUUAACAUGGGGAUCUUUACACAUGAAGAUUUCAAAAGAGGUUCAUGAAGGCAAUGGAGUUUUUAUUAUAACAUUUGUUAGUUUUAUUCAAACAUUAGAGUUAGUUUGCUACUUAUUAGACGUUAGUUUGUAAACGUUUGAAUGUUCGGAAGACAAUCUAACUUUUAUUUGAACUAAUGAUGUUAUGAUUUCUACAUUUUAUGGCUCUA